rnacentral:rRNA from 1 species
AGAGUUUGAUCCUGGCUCAGGAUGAACGCUAGCGGCAGGCUUAACACAUGCAAGUCGAGGGGCAGCAUAAUGGAUAGCAAUAUCUAUGGUGGCGACCGGCGCACGGGUGCGUAACGCGUAUGCAACCUACCUUUAACAGGGGGAUAACACUGAGAAAUUGGUACUAAUACCCCAUAAUAUCAUAGAAGGCAUCUUUUAUGGUUGAAAAUUCCGAUGGUUAGAGAUGGGCAUGCGUUGUAUUAGCUAGUUGGUGGGGUAACGGCUCACCAAGGCGACGAUACAUAGGGGGACUGAGAGGUUAACCCCCCACAUUGGUACUGAGACACGGACCAAACUCCUACGGGAGGCAGCAGUGAGGAAUAUUGGUCAAUGGACGCAAGUCUGAACCAGCCAUGCCGCGUGCAGGAAGACGGCUCUAUGAGUUGUAAACUGCUUUUGUACGAGGGUAAACGCAGAUACGUGUAUCUGUCUGAAAGUAUCGUACGAAUAAGGAUCGGCUAACUCCGUGCCAGCAGCCGCGGUAAUACGGAGGAUUCAAGCGUUAUCCGGAUUUAUUGGGUUUAAAGGGUGCGUAGGCGGUUUGAUAAGUUAGAGGUGAAAUUUCGGGGCUCAACCCUGAACGUGCCUCUAAUACUGUUGAGCUAGAGAGUAGUUGCGGUAGGCGGAAUGUAUGGUGUAGCGGUGAAAUGCUUAGAGAUCAUACAGAACACCGAUUGCGAAGGCAGCUUACCAAACUAUAUCUGACGUUGAGGCACGAAAGCGUGGGGAGCAAACAGGAUUAGAUACCCUGGUAGUCCACGCAGUAAACGAUGAUAACUCGUUGUCGGCGAUACACAGUCGGUGACUAAGCGAAAGCGAUAAGUUAUCCACCUGGGGAGUACGUUCGCAAGAAUGAAACUCAAAGGAAUUGACGGGGGCCCGCACAAGCGGAGGAACAUGUG